UACGUAGGGUCCGAGCGUUGUCCGGAAUUAUUGGGCGUAAAGGGCGCGUAGGCGGCCAGCACAAGUCAGUUGUGAAAUCUCCGGGCUUAACUCGGAAAGGUCAACUGAUACUGUGCGGCUAGAGUGCGGAAGGGGCAACUGGAAUUCUCGGUGUAGCGGUGAAAUGCGUAGAUAUCGAGAGGAACACCGGUGGCGAAGGCGGGUCUCUGGGCAACAACUGACGCUGAGGAGCGAAAGCGUGGGGAGCGAACAGG
rnacentral:rRNA from 1 species